rnacentral:pre_miRNA from 1 species
CAUGAAAUGUGCGAUGAUGACUACUUUCUGCUGAGGUUACAACCAGUGAACCUAAUAGCAUGUAUUACCUGAGCACAUGU